AAUCGAGCAUGUGCAGUACCAGACACGAAGUGGAGCUGGAGGAAGUGGACGAGUAAAAGGCGCGAUAAGGGACUGAAAUAAGAAAGUGACAAAUCGAGGCAGUGUCAGCAGAGGACAGUGACAGACAGGAAGCUCAAACCAAACAUCACGUUAAGCUACGAGAGAAAAACUCGAUUGAUGAGGACCUGAAUAUUAUCAGCAUCUGGAUGCGGAGCAGGAAAAUCUAAACACGGAGGGAUAGGGAAGCAAGGCACAUGAAGCUCUGGUGAAACACCUUCAGACCAAUCAGAAGGUGGAAGAGACGUCACUAAGAGGAAUUCUGGGAAAUGGCACUGCAGUCGCUGCGACCAGUCUGAAUAUCUCAGUGGAACUGGUGUCAAGGAGUUGUUAAACCCAAAACGAUGUGUCAUGUUGAGGCAAUGGAAGUUUUUUUUUUAAGUGUAAAAGGGCAGAGAUGGGAGUUUGGGUGGUGGUAUUUCCCCCUGUCAAUUGUGUCAAACCAGGGAGCAGUCUAGUGUACCUGACAACUACAUCUGCAGGAAGUUUGACCAGCUGCAGCUCCUCACAGGCCGCAUGGUUCGGUGAGAGAAGCAGCUGGAUGCACUGUGUGCAUACAGAGGGUAGAGAGAGUGAUAGAUUCUAGCUUUAGGGAAGUGGCCACACCACAGGUCCAGGCAAAUAGGUGGGUGACCACCAGGAGAUGCAGGCAAAUAGUUCAGGAGUCUCCUGUGGCCACUCCCCUUUCAAACAGGUAUACCAUUUUGGAUACUGUUGGGGGAUAAUAGUCUCUCAGGAGAUAGUACGAGCAGUAGCCACACCUGUAGCACUACAACUGGUUCUGCUUUAGAGCAGGAUGUGGCAAAAUCUAGGUGAGUGAUAGUGGUAGGUGAUCCAUAGUCAGGGGCACAGAUAGGCAUUUCUGUGACCAUGAAGAAGACUCUAGGAUGGUGUGUUGCCUCCUUGGUGCCAGGGCCCUUGAUGUCUUUGACUGGGUACAGAACAGCCUGAUGCAGGAGGGAAAAGAACAAGAAGUCAUUGUCCACAUUGGUACAAAUAGGUAGGAAGAAAGAAGAGGUCCUGCGAAGACAAUUCAGGGAGUUGGGUAGGGAGCCAAAACACAGGAAUACCAGAGUAGAGUAAAACGCAGCAAUACCAGAGUAGUAAUCUCAGGAUUACUACCUUUGCCACGGGCUAAUGAGGCUAGGAACAGAGUGAAAGUGCAGUUGAACAUGUGGCUACAGAGCUGGUGUAAGGGGGAGGGCUUUAGAUAUAUGGAUUGUUGGGAUGUCUUUUGGGGAUGGUGGGACCUGAACAGGAAGGACGGGUUGCACCUGAACUGGAGAGGUACCAAUAUCCUGGGCAGGAGGUUUGCUACAGCUCUUCAGGAUGGUUUAAACUAGUCAGGGGGAGCGGGUGGGAACCAGAAUACUACACCAGUAAGUGCAGGGGCUAGGGACAAAAGUGUGACAGAGAUAUGCAUAGCAUAGAGUAAGAGCUAGCACAGGGAAGUCAAGGGGCUUGGAGGGACUGGAGGACAGGAAUGUAUUUACUUUAAUGUAAAAAGUAUAGCAGGUAAGUCAGAUAAACUAAGAGCAUGGAUUACUACACAGAAUUGUGAUGUUAUUGCCAUUACAGAGACAUGAUUCAAGGAGGAGCAGGAUUGGCCCCUUAACAUUGCUGCUUAUUGCUGUUUAAUGACUGGAGAAAUUGCACUGCUGAUUCAGGAUCACACUACAGCUGUGUUGAGGGAAGACACAUUGGAGGGAUCUUGCAUUGAGGCAUUAUGGGCAAAGCUCAGGAUUAGUAAGGGUGAAAUCAUAAUGUUGGGAGUUUUCUAUAGACCUCCCAAUAGCCCACGGGGGACAGAGGAGCAGAUAUGUAAUCAGAUACUGAAAAAGUGUGAAAAGAGCAGGGUAGUUGUGGUGGGUGACCUCAACUUUCCUCUUACUGACUGGAAACCCCUUAGAGUCAGCAGCUCAGAUGGAGAGCAAUUUGUUGGUUCUGUCCAGGAGGGCUUUUUGAGGCCAUUUGUUGACAAUCCAGCCAGAGAGGAGUCCAUUUUAGAUUUAGUCCUAGGGAAUUAGCCAGGACAGGUGAUCAAUGUUUCAGUCCGAGAGCUUUUUGGGCUUAGUGACUAUAACUCCGUGAGAUUAUGAGUAGUCAUGAAAAAGGACACAAAUGGCCCUUGGGUGAGGGUAUUUAAUUGGGCAAGAGCACAUUACACCCAAAUUAGACAGGAACUGGAGAAUGUGGAUUGGAAGCAGUUAUUUGAGGGAAAAUCUAUCUCUGGCAUGUUGGGAGGCUUUUAAAGACCAAUUGACUAAAGGAAAGGGCAUGCAUGUCCAUGCAAAACUAAAGGAUAGGAAUGGCAGCAUUAAGGAACUUGUAAGGGAAAUUGUAAGGUUAGUCAAAAGAAAAAGGGAAACAUACAACAAGUAUAGGCAGCUACAAACUGAUGAAGCCCUGGAGGAGUACAAAGAAUUUAGGAAGGAGCUUAAAUGCACAGUUAGGAAGGCAAAAAGGGGCCAUGAAAUGUCUUCAGCUAACAGGGUCAAGGAGAAUCCCAAGAUGCUUUAUGCAGUGAUGAAGGAUGCUGUAGGUUGCAGAGAGACACAGAUAAGCUGCAGAGCUGGGCUGAGAGGUGGCAAAUGGAGUUUAAUGCAGACAAGUGUGAGGUGAUGCACUUUGGUAGGAGUAAACGGAAGGCAAAGUACUGGGCUAAUGGUAAGAUUCUUAGUAGUGUA